rnacentral:lncRNA from 11 species
UGGUCAAUUAUUAUUUUUAAUAGGUGAUCAUCAAAUUUCUACAAAUAUAACUUUUUGUCCCUUUGCAGUGCUACAAAUGUCAUCACAAAAUUGUAUUAGGAAAGGACAAAGGAAUGAGACUUGACUGCUUCCUUCAAAAUAGCAGCAAAAUAGAUGAUGGUGGAUUAAAAGAGGGGAAAAAUUCCCCAUCAGGAAAUGUUCAUCAUUUUACCUUUAGAACAAAUAAUUCCAUGAAACACUGAUCAUUUGAACUUACAGAAGUGGUUGAAUAAAAUGUGUCACCUUAUGCAAUUUAUCUGCUUGAGAACACUGGAGACUAAUCAGAUGCUGCUUUGAGGAGCGUUGAAACAAAUGUGAGAAAACCAAUUUGACUUCAGAAAUGUCAGAUUCAAGUACUCUGCUGUGAAGCUUCAGGAACUCAAAUGUUUCUGCCAUUGCAAAUUCCCCUACCCAGUACUUGCAUUAUAUUUCAAAAAAGUAUUUUCCUUCCCUGAAAACAGCACUUCACUUCUGUAAAUCGAGAAAUGCAUAUGAAAUCUAUGAGGCAUGACCUCAGAAGAAAUUUAAUCAACUGCAAAAUACUAAAAGCUAAUUAAACUAAAUCUUUACUCUUGGAUA